UACGUAGGGGGGCAAGCGUUGUCCGGAAUCAUUGGGCGUAAAGAGCGUGUAGGCGGCUCGAUAAGUCUGCUGUGAAAGUCCAGGGCUCAACCCUGGAAGGCCGGUGGAAACUGUCGGGCUAGAGUCCGGAAGAGGCGAGUGGAAUUCCCGGUGUAGCGGUGAAAUGCGCAGAUAUCGGGGAGGAACACCAAUGGCGAAGGCAGCUCGCUGGGACGGUACUGACGCUGAGACGCGAAAGCGUGGGGAGCAAACAGG
rnacentral:rRNA from 1 species